GAUGAACGCUGGCGGCGUGCUUAACACAUGCAAGUCGAACGAUGAAGCCCAGCUUGCUGGGUGGAUUAGUGGCGAACGGGUGAGUAACACGUGAGUAACCUGCCCUUGACUCUGGGAUAAGCCUGGGAAACUGGGUCUAAUACUGGAUAUGACUUCUCAUCGCAUGGUGGGGGGUGGAAAGAUUUAUUGGUCUUGGAUGGACUCGCGGCCUAUCAGCUUGUUGGUGAGGUAAUGGCUCACCAAGGCGACGACGGGUAGCCGGCCUGAGAGGGUGACCGGCCACACUGGGACUGAGACACGGCCCAGACUCCUACGGGAGGCAGCAGCGGGGAAUAUUGCACAAUGGGCGCAAGCCUGAUGCAGCGACGCCGCGUGAGGGAUGACGGCCUUCGGGUUGUAAACCUCUUUCAGUAGGGAAGAAGCGAGAGUGACGGUACCUGCAGAAGAAGCGCCGGCUAACUACGUG
rnacentral:rRNA from 1 species